GUUCUGAAGUGUAGUGGUUAUCACUUUUGCCUCACACCACCGAAAGGUCCCCGGUUCGGAAACCGGGCAGAAACA